GCGAAAGUGGCGGAAUUGGCAGACGCGCUGGACUUAGGAUCCAGUCCGCAUAAAGCGGUUGGGGGUUCGACUCCCCCCUUUCGCA
rfam:Candidatus Schekmanbacteria bacterium RBG_16_38_11 RBG_16_scaffold_28928, whole genome shotgun sequence.